rnacentral:tRNA from 1 species
GGGUCCAUAGCUCAGCUGGGAGAGCGCUUGAAUGGCAUUCACGAGGUCAGGGGUUCGAUCCCCCUUGGAUCCA